rnacentral:rRNA from 1 species
UACGUAGGUGGCAAGCGUUGUCCGGAUUUAUUGGGUUUAAAGGGUGCGUAGGCGGCUUAUUAAGUCAGUGGUGAAAUACUCUAGCUCAACUAGAGGGGUGCCAUUGAUACUGAUGAGCUUGAGUACAGAUGAGGUAGGCGGAAUUGACGGUGUAGCGGUGAAAUGCUUAGAGAUCGUCAAGAACACCUAUAGCGAAGGCAGCUUACUAGGCUGUAACUGACGCUGAGGCACGAAAGUGUGGGGAGCAAACAGG